GUCUGCCUCAGCGUCGGCUU
rnacentral:rRNA from 1 species